AAGGUGAGGAACAUGAACACCAGUUACAUUAUAAACUUUCCUGUGUUACAAACUUAUAUAUUUGAUGAGAGAAGGAAUUAGAUUCAUGAAAAUAUUAAUCAUUUUAAGGUUAGUAGUACUUAUUGGCUGUUCUUGCAAAACCAAUGGUAAAGUAUGUGAUGAAACCAUUAGAACUUUUUGAUUCAAGCAUCUGAGUGUUCUAUCAGAGGGUUAGAGCCAAUCUAAGUUAAGAACUAUAUUUGGGGUCUCAUCACAUUACCAUUGGUUUCAAAAGAACAGUGAGAAGUCCUAUUCACCGUAUACAGAUUGGUCUUUUCAGGAAUCUAACUCACUCUCUGAUCAACUAUCUAGCCUUGAAAUACAGGCAUGUUUUUCUGUACCUGGUGUUCAUGUUGGUCUCACCC